rnacentral:lncRNA from 1 species
GUGAUGUUCCCUGCCGACAUUCAGGAUAUUUUGUUGGUUGUUUAACUCUUCAAAAACUUGACAUAAGGGUCUAUUGAUUGUGGAGGAACUGAUCUCCUUCUCAUGGGUUCUUUGAGCUCCUGUGUGGGCAUAAGUAUAUCUUUGUUAUAAUUUGUUCCACCUGUGCCUGUCAAUUUCUUUCCACUUGCCUCCUCCCGUGACAUUCUGGCUCAUGUUUCUUCAUAAAGCUCUAAGCCAGUUAUUAAUAACAGACCAGUGAGCCUCCUGAUCCACCAAGACCAUAUGGUGUUUUUCAUAAAAGAGAGAGAUCAUUCCCUUGACUUUGGACUUCGCUUAUUGAACCCCUGGACAACGGAAUCUCCCUCUGUCGCCCAGGCUGGAGUGCAGUGGCACCAUCUCGGCUUACCGCAACCUCCGCCUCCUGGGUUCAAACAAUACUCCUACCUUGGCCUCCUGAGUAGCUGGGAUUACAGGAAUCAAGGUUGCUAAGAGACCACCUGUGCUGAAUACACUUUGUUCUGGCAAGAGCAGAAAACUGAGAAGCCGUGUUACCUACCACUACCUGGGAUUAAUUCAGGGAGCGGGAUAAUUCUGGAUAUGACUGGUAAAAACUGGAUAUUAAUUUCUACUACUACUCCCAAAAGUCUAGAAGAUGAAAUUGUGGGAAGACUUCUAAAAAUUUUGUUUGUUAUCUUUGUUGACUUAAUUUCUAUUAUAUAUGUUGUGAUAACUUCUUAGAAAGCUGACUUCCUUUCCAUGUACAUUUCAAACUGAAUUACAGUGAAUAAAAAUUUGUAUUUUAACUUGUUGAGUGACUCACAUUUUAUGACAUUGCCAAUUUAUUCUAGAAGCCAACAGGACACUGCAAUACAAACAACAUUGUGUAUUGUUUAGUUCUUUAUGGUUUAUGAAACAUUCACAUAUACUGAAGUGAAUUUUUUUCCCCAAAAACAUCUAUCCUACUGAGUCAUGAAACUUCUAGAUUUUUAGCCAGGUGUGGUGGCUCACACCUGUAAUCCCAGCACUUUGAGAGGCCCAGGUAGGCGGAUCCCUUGAGUGCAGGAGUUCGAUACGGGCCUGAGCAACCUGAAGAAAUCCCAUCUCUACUAAAAAUAAAAAUUAAAAAAAUUUGACAGGCAUGGUGGUGCAUGCCUGUAUAGUCCCAGAUACUCAUACUCGGGAUGCUGAGGUGGGAGAAUCGCCUGAGUCCAGGAAAUCAAGUUUGCAGUGAGCUGUGAUCACACCACUGCACUCCAGCCUGGGUGAAAGAGAGAGACCCAGUCUCAAAACAAAAACAAACAAACAAACAAACAACUUCUGGAUUUUU